CAGUAGCCGCGGUAAUACAGAGGGGGCUAGCGUUGUUCGGAAUUACUGGGCGUAAAGCGCACGUAGGCGGACUGGAAAGUCAGAGGUGAAAUCCCAGGGCUCAACCUUGGAACUGCCUUUGAAACUAUCAGUCUGGAGUUCGAGAGAGGUGAGUGGAAUUCCGAGUGUAGAGGUGAAAUUCGUAGAUAUUCGGAGGAACACCAGUGGCGAAGGCGGCUCACUGGCUCGAUACUGACGCUGAGGUGCGAAAGCGUGGGGAGCAAACAGGAUUAGAUACCCGGGUAGUCCCUGUCUCUUAUAC
rnacentral:rRNA from 1 species